rnacentral:rRNA from 1 species
UUGAAACGCGGUGGCAGGCUACACAUGCAAGUCGAGCGGUAGAGAGAAGCUUGCUUCUCUUGAGAGCGGCGGACGGGUGAGUAAUGCCUAGGAAUCUGCCUGGUAGUGGGGGAUAACGUUCGGAAACGGACGCUAAUACCGCAUACGUCCUACGGGAGAAAGCAGGGGACCUUCGGGCCUUGCGCUAUCAGAUGAGCCUAGGUCGGAUUAGCUAGUUGGUGAGGUAAUGGCUCACCAAGGCGACGAUCCGUAACUGGUCUGAGAGGAUGAUCAGUCACACUGGAACUGAGACACGGUCCAGACUCCUACGGGAGGCAGCAGUGGGGAAUAUUGGACAAUGGGCGAAAGCCUGAUCCAGCCAUGCCGCGUGUGUGAAGAAGGUCUUCGGAUUGUAAAGCACUUUAAGUUGGGAGGAAGGGUUGUAGAUUAAUACUCUGCAAUUUUGACGUGUCCGACAGAAUAAGCACCGGCUAACUCUGUGCCAGCAGCCGCGGUAAUACAGAGGGUGCAAGCGUUAAUCGGAAUUACUGGGCGUAAAGCGCGCGUAGGUGGUUUGUUAAGUUGGAUGUGAAAUCCCCGGGCUCAACCUGGGAACUGCAUUCAAAACUGACUGACUAGAGUAUGGUAGAGGGUGGUGGAAUUUCCUGUGUAGCGGUGAAAUGCGUAGAUAUAGGAAGGAACACCAGUGGCGAAGGCGACCACCUGGACUAAU